CUGAGGUAGUUACCUGGCCGGACACUUGGGGCUCUCAAGACCCACCUCGUUGUCCUCAUUGCUUCUAAAUGACCAAGUUCAAGUCCCAAAGAUGAGGAGCAAAGAGGCGGUAGGGAACCAACUCCAGCUGCAUUUACAGUUAGCUGAUUAAACAUCUGGAUCCAGAGGAAACUGUACCACAACAAAAAGGAUCUGUGUUGAAAGACAACGAAGUGUAACAAGAGAACUUGAGCCUCAAGAAGAACAAUCUGAGCAUCCCAGAAUAAGCUCUAGCUGCGUCACUUCCGGAGCGUGUGACCCGGAGCAAGGUGAUGCACCCCAGUGAUGGCCCCUGCUUCCAGGUAGCAGGAUUAAAUGCGCUGUGAGCCUGCGUUUAAUGCAUUGUCUGCCUCACAGCCAACACUCUGGAGACUGGCACAGGAAUCUUCACUCCCACACUUCCCAAGGAAUGAAAACAGUGAGACAAAAAGAGAAAAGGGAGUGGCCGUGUAUAAAUAGAAGCACAGUUUUGCCUGCUAACCUGAGAGGAUUUCAGGACAAUGACAGCAUUUAAGAAUAAAUCUGAGUGAUACUAA